CCGGUGGAGCGUGGUGGUCGCGGUUUGCGUUUUAGCGAACUGAGGAAAGUCCGAGCUCCCUAGGGCAAGCUGCCAGGUAACGCCUGGGCGUCGAAAGGCGACGGACAGGGCCACAGAAAACAAACCGCCCCGCAAGGGGUAAGGGUGAAAUGGUGGGGUAAGAGCCCACCGCGCGCCUGGUAACAGGAGUGGCACGGUAACCCCCAGCUGGAGCAAGGCCAAAUAGGCGGCGAGGUCCUGCCCGGACCGUUUGAGCCGCGGGUAGGCCGCACGAGGCGGCGGGCGACCGCCGUCCCAGAUAGAUGACCAUCCGCCCUCGGGCGAACAGAACUCGGCUUACGGCUCCACCAUCCGG
rnacentral:RNase_P_RNA from 1 species